rnacentral:tRNA from 1 species
GGAAGUGUGCCCGAAUGGUCUAAGGAUUACUUUGAUAGAGUAAAAAACAGAGGUUAAACUCCUCUCACUCCCU